AUGCCCCGCUGCAGCCUCCUGUGUGCCAGCACUGUGCCGGCUUUGGGCGUGUGGGGAGAAGGAAGCAGACCCAGCCUCGGUCAAGCAGAGAAAGGACUCGAUCCAGUCAGAGGGCUCAUCAGGAUGCUCAAGUGUCUGGCUGACAAAGCGCCAUUGCCGUGUGCCUCGUUAUCUCAGAGAUGGAAGAGGGAGCGACAGAGACCCACACGGAGAACAGACACCACGUACUUAGAGACAGAGAACAAAGCAGAGAAAAAAGAGAGAGAGAGGCAGACAGCCAGGGACAAAAGUGGAGAGAACAGAGGAGGCAAACAGGUGGAGACACGGGGCUGGGGGCGGGGGGAGAUAAGUCAGAGUCGGGGUGGGGAGCACAAGGGAACCCAGCCAGGCCCGCCCCUCCCCCACAGCAGGCACAGGCCCCUAAGCCAGGGGUGGCUGGAGGCAGCAGCUGAAGCAGCCACGGCCUGCCAGGCCCUCUUUCCUGCCCACCACAUCCGGCCCGGGCCAGGGUCGGGGAAGGGGAAACGAAGGGCGAUGUCAGCUAUGAACCACCCCGCUUUCCCCCAAUCUGCCUGAGAAGUUAGAACUCGGCAAAUGCACCCUGCUGUGUGUGGACAGAGCCACCUGCUCUUUCCCCACUUCCCACCCACAUUCUCUAUCCUUAGUGGACUUCCCCCUGUCCCGAAGGCUCGUCCCACCUCUGGACCGACGCAAGCAUUGUUUCCACGGCCUAGAAAGCCCUGAGCCUCUGCUCCUCCUCCCCAUGUCAGGUGCUGUGAUGGUCGAUGUCGUGUGUCAACUUGGCGGUACCACAGUGCCCGACUGUACGGUCGCACAUUCUAGAUAUUUCCGCAAGAGUGUUUUGGAUGAGAUUAACAUUUAAACCUGUGAACUUUAGGGGCCGCCCCCUGGCCGAGUGGUUGAGUUUGCACACUCAGCCUCGGAGGCCCAGGGUUUGGCUGGUUCGGAUCCUGGGCACAGACAUGGCACCGCUCAUCAGGCCACGCUGGGGUGGCGUCCCACAUAGCAGAACCAGAAGGAUCUAUACCUAGAAUAUACAACUAUGUACUGGAGGGCUUUGGGGAGAAGAAGAAGAAGAAAAAAGAAGAUUGGCAACGGAUGUUAGCUCAGGGCCAAUCUUAAAAUACAUAAAUAAGAAUAAAUCUGUGGACUUUGAGUAAAACA
rnacentral:lncRNA from 1 species